rnacentral:rRNA from 1 species
GACGAACGCUGGCGGCGUGCUUAACACAUGCAAGUCGAACGGAAAGGCCCUGCUUUUGUGGGGUGCUCGAGUGGCGAACGGGUGAGUAACACGUGAGUAACCUGCCCUUGACUUUGGGAUAACUUCAGGAAACUGGGGCUAAUACCGGAUAGGAGCUCCUGCUGCAUGGUGGGGGUUGGAAAGUUUCGGCGGUUGGGGAUGGACUCGCGGCUUAUCAGCUUGUUGGUGGGGUAGUGGCUUACCAAGGCUUUGACGGGUAGCCGGCCUGAGAGGGUGACCGGCCACAUUGGGACUGAGAUACGGCCCAGACUCCUACGGGAGGCAGCAGUGGGGAAUAUUGCACAAGGGGCGGAAGCCUGAGGCAGCAACGCCGCGUGCGGGAUGACGGCCUUCGGGUUGCAAACCGCUUUCGCCUGUGACGAAGCGUGAGUGACGGUAAUGGGUAAAGAAGCACCGGCUAACUACGUG